GAUGAACGCUGGCGGCGUGCCUAAUACAUGCAAGUCGAGCGAACGGACGAGAAGCUUGCUUCUCUGAUGUUAGCGGCGGACGGGUGAGUAACACGUGGAUAACCUACCUAUAAGACUGGGAUAACUUCGGGAAACCGGAGCUAAUACCGGAUAAUAUUUUGAACCGCAUGGUUCAAAAGUGAAAGACGGUCUUGCUGUCACUUAUAGAUGGAUCCGCGCUGCAUUAGCUAGUUGGUAAGGUAACGGCUUACCAAGGCAACGAUGCAUAGCCGACCUGAGAGGGUGAUCGGCCACACUGGAACUGAGACACGGUCCAGACUCCUACGGGAGGCAGCAGUAGGGAAUCUUCCGCAAUGGGCGAAAGCCUGACGGAGCAACGCCGCGUGAGUGGUGAAGGUCUUCGGAUCGUAAAACUCUGUUAUUAGGGAAGAACAUAUGUGUAAGAAACUGUGCACAUCUUGACGGUACCUAAUCAGAAAGCCACGGCUAACUACGUG
rnacentral:rRNA from 1 species